UCAGAACUUCUUCUAACUCAGUGAAUUAUUAUCUCUGUAAUAAUUCACUCGACUCAUCGACUACGGAAGUACUAGGCCACUACGCCGUAGUCCCCAGACGAUACAGGGGAAUCCAAUCCAUUGGACCUGUCUGUCCUCAGUUACCGUAUAUCGAUAGUCCCUCAUCCAUCUAAUAUCCCAGAGACCGUAUAUCGAGCAUGGUGCUGUCAGACCCAUACGGUUUCUACUCGAGUCUCGCUCUAAUCGGAUUCUCCCGGAGAACUCUUUCUCUCUCAACCCGAAUGACC
rnacentral:lncRNA from 1 species